rnacentral:lncRNA from 1 species
UCUCACAGUGAUUCACUCUAAGGCCAUAAAUCGAAAAAUGUCAUCGGCUUAUCCCCAUUAGAUCUACUUACUAAGUGAUUAACAAGUUAAGAAGCUUCCGAAAACUCUAAAUACCAGUGUCAUAAGGUCAACUUAUUAUUCACUUUUGUGCAUCGGAAGUUAGCGCAUCUCGAGUCUAAUUAUCGCAACGUGUGAGUCAUCAAAACUUAACACUUUGUUUUUGAGUGUCACUAUUCCAAAUCAAGUGUUUACGUAUGGUGACAGUAUGGAGGUCCAAGACCAAGGUAAAGUUUUCAAAUGUUCUGUUUCGAGGACGACUAUUUUUGACAUUUGGCACUCUAAAGAGGGUAGUCCAAAUGAAAAAUGCAACAUGUCCUGAAUACUUUUACAGAAACAUCGUGCCUUUCGGAUGACAUCGAAAAUAUCAAACUAGAGACUUUAAGUAAUAAAAUUAUGAAUGUA